UACGGGAGGCAGCAGUGGGGAAUAUUGCACAAUGGGCGCAAGCCUGAUGCAGCCAUGCCGCGUGUAUGAAGAAGGCCUUCGGGUUGUAAAGUACUUUCAGUCGUGAGGAAGGUGUUAAGGUUAAUAACCUUAGCAAUUGACGUUAGCGACAGAAGAAGCACCGGCUAACUCCGUGCCAGCAGCCGCGGUAAUACGGAGGGUGCGAGCGUUAAUCGGAAUUACUGGGCGUAAAGGGCACGCAGGCGGUUAAUUAAGUUGGAUGUGAAAUCCCCGGGCUUAACCUGGGAAUGGCAUUCAAGACUGGUUAGCUAGAGUCUUGUAGAGGGGGUAGAAUUCCGAUGUGUAGCGGUGAAAUGCGUAGAGAUGUGGAGGAAUACCGGUGGCGAAGGCGGCCCCUGGACAAAGACUGACGCUCAUGUGCGAAAGCGUGGGGAGCAAAC
rnacentral:rRNA from 1 species